ACUACAAUUAAAAACAAACAAAAAAUUAAAUUAAACAAUUAAAUAUACUCCAAAGCUACAAAAGACACGCACAAUUAAAGAAGGGGGCCCACCAUUUGCCAAUUUCACUUGUUUUGGUUUGCUACCUUCAAUUUACUUCCCAACAUUCAGGGUUCCACUAUGGAGGAAGUAAUUUUACUACCUCUCAACUUUCCCCCAUAGUGGUUGCUCUUAGAAGCGUACUUCAGCCAUUUUGAAACUUCAUUCAAGUGUAGAGCAAACAAGCAAAAAUAAGAAUACCAUCCGAAAUCCUCACCAAGGUAACCACUUGACUUUUUCGCCUACCUCUGUUCAUACAUUACACUUCUAGCUCCAAACUGGUUUAACAGAAACCGCAUGUAAAAACUCAACAUAUGCACAACACCUCCACAUAGCAUUUACAGAUUUUGCAUAUAAGUGAUUGAACAAAAUGGCAUUUACAAACUCAUGUGCAUACAAUCUGCUCAUAUAUAUAUAUAUACAAGCAUGACUGUUUUAAAAGAAAAAGAAGAAAGAAAGGGUGAGUCUUGAAGCUCUGUUUUUAAUCUUCGAACUUGAGCGAACUGAGUUGAGAGAGAGCGGAGGGAGGCACGGCUAUGCUGCUGCUGCCCGGCCACGGUUGGAGGGAGAGAGAUGGGCUGAACUCGGCUGGAGUUUGGAGAGGGAGGCCAAUCCAUGGCCCGGCGGCCCUGCCGCUAUCGCUCGGCCACGGACGGAGAAAGAAGAGGGAGGGGUGAGAGUUGUCAUGGUUUGGGGUCUGGGUUUCUGGAACGGCACGCCUGCUCACCGCUGUCGAUUCACCGGAGGAAGAUGGCGGCCGGUGCCUGUGUGCGCUGCCGUCUGUGCUUGUGUGUGUUGCGUGUCUGGUCCACGCAAGAAGGGGGGUGGGGGGGGCGUCACAGGGGCGCCGGGUUCGGUGAAGCGAAGGGAGAGCCGAGGGUGGCGCGGCUUGUCGCCGCUGCUCCUCCGGCGGGUUCCGCGGCGGCGGAUCCCGGGAUGGGGCGGGCGGAUUUCGUCCAAAGGGGAGAGAGGGACGAGCGGAUUUGUU